rnacentral:misc_RNA from 1 species
CUUUUUGAUCGCACAGGCUUAUUGUAUGGAGAGUUGGCCAGAUUUGUUUUGAGAUUGUUGGGAAUCAAAACAAAGCCCAGGAAGGUUCAAGGACCAGGGCCUGAUGGACUUCCUGCUCCUCAAAAUCCCCACCGGAAUCAAAACUACAUUGAGGGUCCUAAGGGUGCUCCAAGCGGUGCAUGGGAUAAUGUUUGGGGAGACGGUGCUAAUUAAGCCAACAAUGCGCGCUUCGUAAAUGAUAAACAAAAUAGAAUUGAGUGCUGUGGUACGCAAGGAGAUCAUAUGGAUGCAAAGCUGGUUGGUUAGCUCACUAAAUUAUGUCUGUUGUUUGCUUGAAAUAAAACUCUCUCUCUCUCUC